AAACAGCCAACUUGGAACUGUCGCCGACAAGGGGAAUCCAUCUGUUUAAUUGAAACAUAGCAUUGAGACUCGCACGUUGAGGCAGUUUUUGACUCAAGGUGCGUCCUGCCCAGUGCUCUGAAUGUUAAUGCAAAGAGAUUUUAUCAAGCUCGGGUAAACGGCGGGAGUAACUAUGACUCCCUUAAGGUAGCCAAAUGCCUCGUCUUCUAACUAAAGACGCGCAUGAAUGGAUUAAUGAGAUUCCCACUGUCCCUGGUUACUAUCCAGCGAACCAACAGUCAAGGGAACGGGCUUGAAGUCUUCAGCGGGGAAAGAAGACCCUGUUGAGUUUGACUCUAAUCUGGACUUGUGCAGUGACACUCGAGGUGUAGGAUGGGUGGGAGAUGCGCAAGCAUCAACGGUGAAAUACCACUACUCGGAUUGUUGCUUUGCUCAUCGCAUCGAAUAGGAACGGCAGUCGCCCGGCUUCUGUCGGGUUGAGGAUCCCCCUUCGGGGAGAUCCGUGGCUUUUCCGAUUCGAGCGGUAACCACAGAUCUUCUGUGGGACCUAUCGCUGCGAGACAUUGGCCAGAUGGGGAGUUUGGCUGGGGCGGCAUAUCUGUUAAACUCUAACGCAGGUGUCCUAAGGCACACUCAGUGAGAACAGAAAUCUUACGUGGCGGAUAAGGCCAAAAGUGUGCUUGAGCUCGCGAUCUCCAGUACUGAUCCAGACUGUGAAAGCAAGGCCUAACGAUCCUUUGUACUCAUCAUGUUCAGAGUACGAAGUCAGAGGUGACAGAAAAAUUACCACAGGGAUAACUGGCUUGUGGCCGCCAAGAGUUCAUAUCGACGCUGCUUUUUGAUCCUUCGAUGUCGGCUCUUCCUAUCCUUACCCUGCAGAAGAGGUAAAGGGUUGGAUUGUUCACCCAUCAAAAGGGAACGUGAGCUGGGUUUAGACCGUCGUGAGACAGGUUGGUUUUACCCUACUGAAGAGUACAAGGCGUGUUGAAGGUAAUCUGGGGUAGUACGAGAGGAACUCCCAUUUCGUGCUGCUGGUUUCUGCCCCUGGUUGACCAACCAGUGGGGCGAAGCUACGCGCGAUGAUGUACGGCUGAAAGCCUCUUAAGCCGGAACUCAGUCCAGUGACACGCCCAUGCCUUACGGCGUGGCAAGACCGAGUUCUGACUCUGGGACGAACUCUCGUAGUAAGUCGCAUGGCCAGGAGCGCGAUGAGUCCCGAAAAGUGGGCUUUAUUGUGCCUUGGCAAGAAAAAC
rnacentral:rRNA from 1 species